rnacentral:rRNA from 1 species
AGAGUUUGAUCAUGGCUCAGGACGAACGCUGGCGGCGUGCCUAACACAUGCAAGUCAAGGGGAAAGUCCGGCUUCGGUUGGAUGAGUAUACUGGCGGACGGGUGAGUAACGCGUAGGCAACCUGCCCUAUGGCUAGGGAUAACCCAGCGAAAGUUGGACUAAUACCUAAUAAUGCAGCGGAUCCGCAUGGAUAUGUUGUUAAAGAUUGCUCGUGAGAGCACCCGCCAUAGGAUGGGCCUGCGUUCCAUUAGUUAGUUGGUGAGGUAACGGCUUACCAAGGCGACGAUGGAUAGCUGGUUUGAGAGAGUGAUCAGCCACACUGGGACUGAGAUACGGCCCAGACUCCUACGGGAGGCAGCAGUGAGGAAUAUUGCGCAAUGGGCGAAAGCCUGACGCAGCAACGCCGCGUGGGGGAUGAAGUUCUAUGGAGCGUAAACCCCUGUAAGCGGGGACGAAAGUUGUAUGUUCGAAGAGGGCAUACAUUUGACGGUACCCGCAGAGUAAGCUCCGGCUAACUCCGUGCCAGCAGCCGCGGUAAUACGGGGGGAGCGAGCGUUGUCCGGAAUUACUGGGCGAAAGGGCGUGUAGGCGGUUUGGUAAGUCAGAUGUAAAAGCCCCCGGCUUAACCCGGGGAUGCAUUUGAAACUGCCGGGCUUGAGUUCGAGAGAGGGUAGCGGAAUUCCCAGUGUAGCGGUGAAAUGCGUAGAUAUUGGGAAGAACACCAGUAGCGAAGGCGGCUACCUGGCUCGUAACUGACGCUAAUGCGCGAAAGCGUGNNNNGCAAACAGGAUUAGAUACCCUAGUAGUCC